AAUCAAAAGGUAGCCAGGUGCAUCGGGGAAAGCACUGACAUUGGAGUCAGACAGACUGAAGUUCAUAUCUGAUUCUGCUAUAUGACAACGUGUGGGCUAUGUGGCUAACUUCUCAGAGCUUCAGUUUUCUCAAGGGCAAAAUGAAAAUAAUAGAAAUAAUAGAAUCCACCUCACAGGGCUGUGGUGAGAAUUGGAGAUGAAGCACAUACAGCAUAUUACAUCAACUAAACACAUGCUAAGCACAUGACAGAAUUGCUCUGUUGAAGUUUUGCAAGGUCAAAUGACUCACUUUGUCUAAUGGAACGGGAACGAACAAUUUUUUUGUGUCACGUUUGAACAGAUACCUUUGAGAAGUUUAUGAUUCUCCAAGUUCUCUUUCUCCUACUGUGGCACCUACUGACAAGAUAAAUGUGUAGAGGUUCCUGAGUCUAGGGGUGAGUCUUGCAUAUCUGAUGAAUCCACCAGUAAAAGUACCACUGCUGAAAUCACGCAAAUAUAUUUUUUUAGACCUUAUCAACCUUGGCAUGGAAUUAGAUGAGCAAAAAGCUGAGUUGAAUUGAUGAAAAGAAUCCCAAGUCAUUAAUUACUAAUGAUGGAGCUUGUAAAGUACAGCAUCACUGGGGAAAGCAACUGACUUUCCUCAUACACAUUAUAUUUUUAU
rnacentral:lncRNA from 10 species